UCAAGAAACUUCCACAAUGGGCGAAAGCCUGAUGGAGCGACGUCGCGUGAUGGACGAAGUGCUUCGGCACGUAAACAUCUUUUAUGUGGGAUGAAAUUAUUGACAGUACCACAUGAAUAAGGGGCUCCUAACUCUGUGCCAGCAGGAGCGGUAAUACAGAGGCCCCAAGCGUUAUCCGGAAUCACUAGGCGUAAAGGGUGUCGAGGCGGUUGUAUUAGUCGUUCGUAAAAUCUACGAGCUUAACUUGUAGGCGGCGAACGAAACGGUACGACUUGAGGUUUGGAGAGGUGCGUGGAACUCACGGUGUAGGGGUGAAAUCCGUUGAUAUCGUGGGGAACACCAAAGGCGAAGGCAGCGCACUGGCCAAAAUCUGACGCUCACACACGAAAGCUAGGGUAGCGAAGAGGAUUAGAUACCCCCGUAGUCCCUGAGCGGGCUGGCAAGGCGCAU
rnacentral:rRNA from 1 species